GUUUCCGGGAAGGGAGCGCGGAGGAUUUGUCUGUUGGGUUUGGUAGUCGGCCUCCCAAAUUUACUAACCCUUAACCCGGAGGAGGUGUUUCUCACGGUUGUCUAACAUUUUAGAGAAUACAACGCGUUUUUACACUCUUCAUUUCACUAGAUUCUUAUAAAAACCCUAUGAAGUAGGUAUUAUUAUCUUCAUUUUGUAGGCGAGGAAAUUGCCCCAAGAGACAUGCCCCAAAUCUUUUACACGGUACUCACGGAUGGAGUUUGAAUCCAAGUUCUGUUUCAAAUCUCCGGUUCUUCCUUUCUGCUACACAGUAGCCGAAAAGUACUAAUUUUUAAUCCCCUGUGUUAUACUUACUGACUUUAUUAUAGUUCUUUCCAGCUUUACUUAGCUCCUCCAUUAUUUCCUGAAAAAAACUGUAAGCGAGUUAUAUAACAGUAACUUUGUGUUUUAAUGUCGCCACUUGUAAAAUAAUAAUUGUGCCUGUCUCCUGGGGUUGCUGUGAGGGUUAAAUGAAUUAUUAUAUAUAACCACUUAGAGCCUAGCAGUACUUAACUAAUGGAUGUUUUAUUGUAAAAUGUCUUAUUUUUUUCUCUAUGCAUUUGCAGAGAAGGUUCAUAAGCCAGAAGAACUGGCAUCGAGUACUGACUGCCACCAAUACUCAUUCUCCCUUCCACGACGUCAGUUCCCUUUCCUCUUGGAUGGGAAGCCCCGCCCUAUUCAAUAGAGAGGGGAGAGGGGCUGGAAAUGGAGUUGACUGAUCAUGCCUACAUGAGGAAGACUCCGUAAAAUGCCAAUAGUAUGGGGUUUGGAGAGCUUGCAGGUUGGUGAACACAUCAUGUAGCAGGAGGAUGAUGCACCCCAACUGCAUGAGGACAGAAGCUCCUGCACUCCACCCUCCCAGACCUUGCCUGUGCAUCUGUUCAUCUGGUUGGUCAUCUUAACAGCAUCACAGCCUCUAACCUUCUGAUGCCUGAAGCAAAUACUGUCAGGAAAUCAUCAAUAACAAUCAUACAGUACAAGAAUUUCAGCUCAGAAGAAGACAUUUUGGUGAUUGGAAACUUUCCAAAUGAUAGCUCUCUCCUGAACGGAGAUGUGAGUAGCUUUUUUCUCCUGUUACUCAUGACCUGUGGUAGUUUGCAAAAACAGUACAAAUUCUUCCUCUCCCUGUGACCGUGACCUUGCAGUGUAACUUUGCAGCAUCUCCCUUCAAGAGAUGGAGUCUGUUUCUUUACCUUCAUGGCUUUCUUACUUGAUUUGACCAAAAGAAUGCAACAGAAGUUGUGUGCCAUUUCUAAGCCUCAAAAAUAUUUGUAACUGGAGGCUUUCGAUUUUCGAACUUUGCCAGUCUACCACAGGAACAAGCCAAAGAUAGCUUGCUGGAUGAUGAAAGACACCUGGGCCCAUUGCCUCAGCCCACAACCCGUCAAACCCCAGGAGUAGAGCUACCUAUUUGACUUACAGCUGACCAGAGACAUGAAUGAACCCAGUCAGGACCGGAAGAACCACUCAGCUGAGCUCAGCCCAAAUAGAAUCUUGAGUUAAAUAAAUUUGAGAUGUUUCAUUAUGCAGCAAAAGCUAACUUCCAUGUAGUUCCCUCACAAUUUGUGAUUAUUUUUUAUUGAUUAAUCUUCCUUCCCUAUAAUGAAUACUAGUAGUUAUUUAACAUCUGUUUCCCACCUUAUUCCUUGUUAAAAGAACCCCAAUUUUAAAACAAUGUUGUGGUGAGAAUAUAGGGAAUCAGAUUUUUUUUUAAAGAACCUCAAUUUUGUUCUUAAAUCCACCUCUCUUCCAUGAGACUCAAGAGCCCAAGAGAAGAUCCUGCUUAAUCUAAUCAACAAGUUGCCGUUCCCCUUGUGGUAAUUGUUUUAGGAUCAGUCCCAUAACUGAAUUUUGGUCAAUGACACCUGAAUGGAAGUCUGCUGGGGUCUUCUGAGAAAGGUGUCUUGGUCUUAAGAAGGUCACAUAAAAAAAUAAUUACUCUCUCCCUUUGUAUAUUCAUGUAUCUGAAAAUGACACCUGGAGUUGUAGCAACCAUCUUAAAACUUUAAAGAGAACAACCUGAGAAAAUAGCCAGCACAAUCAGGAAGGCAGCACAGAGUUGAAAAUAACUUAAGUCUUUAUUAAUGUCUUGUACUGUUGAACCAACCAGCCCUGGAAUCUAUCCUACCUCUGUACUUAAGGUUAUGCAAAGUAAUUCAUUUCUCUAUUGCUUAAGCCAAUUUUAAUUGACUUUGCUGUUACUUACAGCUGAUGUUAUAAUUAAUACAACUCUCACUAGAAUAUAAGCUCCAAGACGGUAGGGAACAUGUCUGCAGUUUGCCACUUACCUCCAGUGCCAAGCCCAGCAUCUGCCCCCGAGUAAGCAUUUAAUAGUUAUUUAUUGAAUGAAUGAAAGUAUACCAAUAAUCAUUAAUUAUGUCUGCAGUUGAUACUUCACUAGAUAGUAUAAAGAUCUGUUAGGGAGCCUGACUAUUCUGGAUUGUGAGCCCUUCAAGAAUAGGACUCUAUCUUCAUUCCCUAGUACCUGGCAUGCAGUAGAUCUCUACCCAUUUGUUGUAUCAAUGUCCUAUGUUACAGAAUUCGGCCAGCUCUCCAGCAGGGGGUGCACAUGACCAGGUGUUCUGAGUGCUAGGAACUCUUCUUUAUCCAUUCAUCAACCUCUCCUCUGCUGCCUUCCCCUGUAAUCCUCUGCUGCCUUCCCCUGUAAUCUUCCCCACUUGGAGCAUGCCUACAUGGGAGCUCAGGAGAAGGGAUAUUUCCAUAUUUAGUAAUCAGGCCCCCAUCUGAGACCUGGGACAGAAACUGCUAGAUCCCAGACACAGAGGUGACCCAACAGACAGCAAAAUUAUUAGCAGUUCCCCAUCACUCCCACCAGUAGCUUUGAACAUGAGUUUGGGAGUUAGCCAUAGUGAGAAAGUUUCAAAUGACUGUGGAAAGUUGUGCUGGGCUGGGUUAAACAUAAACUUAAUCUGUGCAUCAAAAUCAGCUGGGUGAGCCUUAAAAAAAAAAAUACUGAAUUUGAAUCUCUCAGACAGGGACUCAGAGAUCUGUCAUAGGCUCUUUAAUGAUUUUGGUGCAUUCUUUCUGCAGACGAGCAUCUGGGAACCAUUACAUGGCACAGGUUUAUACAGGGACCUAAUUAAUGCAAUGUUCUGCACACCUGGCCAAUUAAAUAUAUAAGUAAGUGAUUCUUGUCUACUAGGAGCUCAUAUUUCAAGGCAAAGGCAAGACAUUAUCAUUUUGGAAAGCCCCUCGCAAAGGGUUUUGGCUUCCAAGAGUUACAACACUGUUGCAGCCAGCUUUAUCCAGAGAUUUGAGGGAAACAGUGCAGAACUCCUAUAUGGCUGCCACCCAGAACUGGGAUUAAGCCUUGAUUUGCAAUCAGUCUUUCACAAAGAUAAGCCAGACCUUUUCAAUAUAAAAUUUUAGCAGUUUAGAAAGUGAGUUUGCAUCAAAUUAAAAAGUCAAUUAAUGGCCAAUACAGGUUGCUACACAUUUCUCAUAAUCAAUGAUUUAUGACAACCCAUGAUCAAGUGAUUUUAGAAUUAUGAAACAUAGAUACACACUCCCUCACUCUUUACACAAAAGUAACAGAAAUCACCCAACUUUUUACAAUUCACAUCAGCCUGGGGUAACUGAAGCAAGUAAGUUGAAAUGAGUCUGUAUUCAUUCAUCUGAAGUCUUGGUUUGCGUCAGAAAAUAACCACAAGAUACCAAGAAUCUUUUUAGAAAUCCACCAGUUCAAUUCUAAAACAAUAGUAAUUUUCUACAAAUCACAAUAGGGGAAAUCCAUAGGUGAUAAAUGAAAGUAGGGGAAGUUACAAACUUUACAGUGUUAGAGAUACGUUUGGUGGUUAAAGAGACUAAGAAGCAUUUUUUUACUUAUGCUUUAUUUCUUACAAUAUGGGUCCUGUUCCCAAUCUCCUUGGUAAAAACUAUUUAGACUCAUUUCCCCUAGAUCAGUGUGUUUCUAACUGCAGGUUGAGAUCCAUUGUGGGGUGUGAAAUCAACUUAGUGUGCCACAACCGAAUUAAAAAAAAAAUGUCAGAAUACAUCCUGCAUAUAAAGUAUACUGUUUCAUGAAACUUCUUGUUUCAGUUAUGUAUGUAUGUGUGUGUGAUUGGGAUGUAUGUGUGUGUGUGUGUGUGUGUAUACACACAUACGCAUGUGUGUGUGUGUAUAUAUAUAUAUAUAUAUAUAUAUAUAUAUAUAUAUAUAUAUAUAUAUAUAUGUAUAUAUAGUCUGUUUCUGGUUGUUUGCUUUUUAAUUGAAGUACAGUUGAUUUAAAAUGUAUUAGUUUCUGGUGUACAGCAUGGAUGGACUUGGAGGGCAUUAUGCUAAGUGAAAUAAAUCAGAGAAAGACAAAUACUAUAAGAUAUCACUUACAUGUAGAGUAAAAAAAUGCAACAAACUAGUGAAUAUAACAGAAAAGAAGCAGACUUACAGAUGUAGAGAUGGAACUGGUGGUUAGCAGUGGGGAGAGGGAUGGGGAGAGUCAAGAUGGAGGUGGAGGAUUAAGAGGUAUAAACUAUCAGGUAUAAAAUAAGCUACAAGGAUGUAUUGUACAACAUGGGGAAUAUAGCCAAUAUUUUAUAAUAACUAUAAAUGGAGUAUAACCUUUAAAAAUUGUGAAUUACU